rnacentral:misc_RNA from 1 species
GUGAAUCAUCAAAUUUUUGAACGCAAAUUGCACUCUCUGGUAUUCCGGAGAGUAUGCCUGCUUGAGGGUCAGUUUAAAUAAAAAUCGGUGCGGUUGCUGCCUUUCGUGGUGAUGAACCGGAUUUGGGUCGUCUUGACUUCGGUUAAGUGAACUCAAUUUUUGCAUGAUUUUUUUCGAAUGUAUUUAAUUGAUUUUACGUACGUUUGCGUUAUCGAAUACUAGGUGUGGUCAUCCUUAUGAUUCGCGCCUAUAAUUUUUCAUCAAAAUGACAUCAAAUC